rnacentral:rRNA from 1 species
GAAACUCCAAAUUUAUUUCAUAAUCGACCUCGGAUCAGGUAGGGAUACCCGCUGAACUUAAGCAUAUCAAUAAGCGGAGGAAAAGAAACCAACAGGGAUUGCCUCAGUAACGGCGAGUGAAGCGGAAAGCCUUCAAUUGAAA